rnacentral:rRNA from 1 species
CAAAGGUUUGGUCCUGACUUUACUAUCAAUUGUACCCUAAUUUACACAUGCAAGUCUCCGCCUCCCCGUGAGAAUGCCCUUAAUGUCCUGCCCGGAAUUAAGGAGCAGGUAUCAGGCACAUCUAAUAGUUUACUAGCCCAUAACGCCUUGCUCAGCCACACCCCUACGGGUAUUCAGCAGUGAUAAAAUUUAAGCCAUAAGUGAAAGCUUGACUUAGUUAAGGGGAAGAGGGCCGGUAAAACUCGUGCCAGCCACCGCGGUUAUACGAGAGGCCCAAAUUGAUGAAAAACGGCGUAAAGCGUGGUUAAGAAAAAAAGAGAAAAUAUGGCCGAACAGCUUCAAA